rnacentral:rRNA from 1 species
GAGUCUGGCCAUGCUACCCUGAACAAGCCCGAUCCCGUCUGAUCUCGGAAGCUAAGCAGAGUCGGGUUAGUACUUGGAUGGUUAGUACUUGGAUGGGAGACCUCCCAGGAAGACCAGGUGCUAUAGGUG